rnacentral:rRNA from 1 species
GACGAACGCUGGCGGCGUGCUUAACACAUGCAAGUCGAACGGAAAGGCCCUGCCUUUGUGGGGUGCUCGAGUGGCGAACGGGUGAGUAACACGUGAGUAACCUGCCCUUGACUUUGGUAUAACUUCAGGAAACUGGGGCUAAUACCGGAUAGGAGCUCCUGCUGCAUGGUGGGGGUUGGAAAGUUUUGGCGGUUGGGGAUGGACUCGCGGCUUAUCAGCUUGUUGGUGGGGUAGUGGCUUACCAAGGCUUUGACGGGUAGCCGGCCUGAGAGGGUGACCGGCCACAUUGGGACUGAGAUACGGCCCAGACUCCUACGGGAGGCAGCAGUGGGGAAUAUUGCACAAUGGGCGGAAGCCUGAUGCAGCAACGCCGCGUGCGGGAUGACGGCCUUCGGGUUGUAAACCGCUUUCGCCUGUGACGAAGCGUGAGUGACGGUAAUGGGUAAAGAAGCACCGGCUAACUACGUG